rnacentral:lncRNA from 1 species
UGGGAGGCCUGGGCCUCUGCGGUUUAAUCCAGCAGGGGGAUGGGGCUCAUUCCGCAAUUUAAAGAGAGAAAUAAGUUGGCUCCAGAGGGUAUGUUAUGCAUAAAAGUGGAUAAUUUACAUGAUAAAUGAAAAUGGCCAAUUCUUUAAGAGGAGAAGUACUAAAACUUUAUAAAAAUCUGCUGUAUCUUGGACGAGACUAUCCAAAAGGAGCAGACUAUUUUAAAAAGCGUUUG